AUUGAACGCUGGCGGCAGGCCUAACACAUGCAAGUCGGACGGUAGAACAGAGGAGCUUGCUCCUUGGGUGACGAGUGGCGGACGGGUGAGUAAUGUCUGGGGAUCUGCCCGAUAGAGGGGGAUAACCACUGGAAACGGUGGCUAAUACCGCAUAACGUCGCAAGACCAAAGAGGGGGACCUUCGGGCCUCUCACUAUCCGAUGAACCCAGAUGGGAUUAGCUAGUAGGCGGGGUAAUGGCCCACCUAGGCGACGAUCCCUAGCUGGUCUGAGAGGAUGACCAGCCACACUGGAACUGAGACACGGUCCAGACUCCUACGGGAGGCAGCAGUGGGGAAUAUUGCACAAUGGGCGCAAGCCUGACGCAGCCAUGCCGCGUGUAUGAAGAAGGCCUUCGGGUUGUAAAGUACUUUCAGCGGGGAGGAAGGCGGUGAGGUUAAUAACCUCGCCGAUUGACGUUACCCGCAGAAGAAGCACCGGCUAACUCCGUGCCAGCAGCCGCAGUAACAC
rnacentral:rRNA from 1 species